GAACGUGAUUUGCGUUGCAUUUUUCAUGUGAUUUGUCAUUAUUCUAAACUGAUUUGACGAGCUGCUUUUCCAGCGAUUUAAAUAGAAGCGGCGGUGAUUUGAUACUAUACUGAUGAUUUGAUUUGAUACGAUAUUGCUGUUUAAAAACGCAAUUACCCAUGGGAAGAGAGAGCCCAUUGAGAAGACUCCAACCACCCACAAUAGCUUACAUUGGCAUAUUUUCAUACGAGUCGUUAAUCAAAUAUGUCUAAAGAAUGUGUUUGUUUGGAAAUCUCUUUAAGUUAUAGCAGUACGUAGGAAAAUAUAAAUAAAUGUAUAGAAAAUAUAAAAAUUCAUGCCAAUAGAUUCAUGCAGUGAAAAGAAUGGCACAAUUUAUGUGAAAAUCACGUCGAAUACCCGUCCCAAAUUGUAGUUGGUCAACCGAUUCACUUCCUCGUACCUAUAACCACCAUCAAACAUUUCCGGCGGUUUGCUUGUUGCUUCGGGACUGGAGCGGGAUCAUCGUUACUCACAAAUAGCAAAAGUCAGGCCCAUACUUGGCUUAAAUUCGGAAUAGAGUGGUGUUUGGCAUACACGCCUUUAUCCGACAAGUAAAGCUGGAUAAAAAUACCUGACAGGCAUUUAAAAAAAUAUUGUCACCAUUCUAACAAUCAUGUCCGCCAAGGGCAAAAGGGAUAACGUGGCAGUUUUUUCCUCAAUCCAACCUCAUCAACCCAUCAUCCAAACUCAUCAAUCACCAUACUGUAACGAUGAGUAAUGCUGCUGUAACAAUAUUGAUAAAUACAGAGUCCACCCUUAUAUAGAAUGUAAUAAAUCAAAAGGGGAAGACAUGGAAGGGGACACAAGAAAACCGCAUAAAGAAUGAAGCCAACCUGCAUUGGAAGCAGCAAAUAAAAACAGACAGAUGAAGAAGACAUCUAUAUAUGUCUUCAACCGCUUUCAAUAUCAUUGUUUGAAACACUUACAUUCUAGUGGUUAUCGAGGUGAAAAAAGACAACCCACAUGAAAUCAAUCCAAAAGUAAAAAAUGAUAUAACUGUUUCUGGAAAAGUUUUGAAAAAUUUUAAUGUGAAAUUGACUUCCAGAAAUCCAAUGAGGACACUCAGUUUAAAGAUGACUAGUACUACAGUAAAAUUCAUAAAGACACAGUCCCAGCUCGAUAUGAAUUUACGGUUUUAAAAAAAUUAAUUUUUAUUUGACCUUAGCUUUGACCAAGUGAUGAAAUAUGCUCCCCCAUUUUAAAAAGGAUCAACGCCAUGUUUUUUCGGUGGUCCUUAAUUUCCGAUGAACUUGCUGAAGACCUUUAUCCAGAUCAACCUUUUGGUGAUGCCUACAUCAUCCCUCUUUUGCCCAUAGGGCUUAAAAUCCUUAUUUUGCUUUAGGUUUUCAAAAAUUAUGCGUUACUUCAUUAUAUAUUUUUUUGCAUAGGAUCGUUUAUUUAUACUUUUUUCUUUAAAAAAAUUGGAUGUCAGAAAAAAUCCUUACAGCCACAAUGAAAAAAGACCCGUUAAACUUGGAUAGAUCUGAUGGAUCUGAUCAAGGUAUAGAAAAACGUAAGCCUCGUGUUGACUCAGGCUUACUUAGGAUCACGCAACCGUAUCCUAUUCUUUACACAAAUAGCAUAACCUCGUAAAAAAAUUUAUAGCUGACGAUGACAAUUUGAGUCCCAUCAACAAUCAGCGGUACAGCGGAGUCACCCGUCAUUAAAAUUAGAAGAUAAUAACUAAUUAGAGAUAUGCAAAGUAGUUAAACUUGUUACGCAAAGUUCUGAUAUUGAUCAUCUUUUUCUUUUAUAGGUAAGGGAGACUGAAGUAAGCCGGGACGGUUUUCGUUUUCCCCCUAUUUCUUCCAAACUAAUCAUUAAAUUUAUUUAUAAUUUAGUUUUUAUGUUUUCCAUACCGUAAUGUACCCCCCAUAUGUUUUGUAUAAUUUAACAAUCAACCAUUUUCCCAUAUAAGACAUUUAAAGUUUUCUCAGAUUUGUGGGAGGUACCUAUUUUGAGGGGUAUGUGAGGACACUGGGGUGGGUGGUGAGAGACGUCCUCCAAUUUCGCCUUAAAAUUCAUUAAAAAAUUUGUAAAAAUUUAAAUAGCGUCCCACUGCAUAGACUCUAUAAGU